GACUUCCGGAGGACAGGAAUGAAAAUGGCAGCCUCCCAGUCUCUGGCCCGGAGGAGCUGAGAGCUCGGGGCCCCACUCCUCAGUGCGCCCUCAGAGAACAGCGCCCAUUCACUCCCGUUUGCCUGACCUCCAGCUGCGCUCCAAGCUCAUCGAGCCUGCAACUGGUUCAAGAUUAGGUUUUGAAAAUUAUAAC